rnacentral:rRNA from 1 species
GAUGAACGCUGGCGGCGUGCCUAAUACAUGCAAGUCGAGCGAACGGACGAGAAGCUUGCUUCUCUGAUGUUAGCGGCGGACGGGUGAGUAACACGUGGAUAACCUACCUAUUAGACUGGGAUAACUUCGGGGAACCGGAGCUAAUACCGGAUGAUAUUUUUAACCGCAUGGUUCAAAAGUGAAAGACGGUCUUGCUGUCACUUAUAGAUGGAUCCGCGCUGCAUUAGCUAGUUGGUAAGGUAACGGCUUACCAAGGCAACGAUGCAUAGCCGACCUGAGAGGGUGAUCGGCCACACUGGAACUGAGACACGGUCCAGACUCCUACGGGAGGCAGCAGUAGGGAAUCUUCCGCAAUGGGCGAAAGCCUGACGGAGCAACGCCGCGUGAGUGAUGAAGGUCUUCGGAUCGUAAAACUCUGUUAUUAGGGAAGAACAUAUGUGUAAGUAACUGUGCACAUCUUGACGGUACCUAAUCAGAAAGCCACGGCUAACUACGUG